rnacentral:rRNA from 1 species
UAUUAAAUUUUUUAUUUAUUUUGUUUUUUAAUGAAAAUUUUAAAAUAAAAAUAUUUAAGUUUUAUUAUUGUAAAGAAAAAAUUUAAUUUAUUAUAGAUUAGAGUAUAGUGAUAGAAAAAUUUUAAAUUUUUAUAAGAAGAAUUAUUUUUUUGUACCUUGUGUAUCAGGGUUUAUUAAUUAAAAUUUAUAGAUAUAAUUUUCUCGAAUUAAUUAAGAGUUAUAUAUAUAUAUAUAUUUUGUUGAAUAAAAAUUAUUAAUAUAUAUAUAGAGAUGAAACAUUAUUCGAUUAUUAAUAUAUCUAGUUUUCAGAGAAAAAAGUUUAAUUUUAUUAUUAAUUUAAUAUAAAAUUUAAUCAAUAGUUUUAUAUUUUUAUUAUUUUAUAUUUUAAGGGAUAAGCUUUAAGGUAGAUUAUUUUAAGAUAAUUUUUUUUUGUAAAAUUAAGUAAAAUUAAAAGUUUUUUUCUUUUAAAAUGUGUUGUAACUUUUUUAUUUAAAAAUAUGAUUUUUAUUAUUUUAAAAUUUUUUAUUUGAAUAAAUAUUAAAAUAUGAUUAAUUUGGUAAUAAUGAUAAAAUUAGUAGAAUUUAUUGUAUAAAAAUAUUUUGAUUGGAGGUUAAAUAAAGGAACUCGGCAAACAAAUUUUUCACCUGUUUAUUAAAAACAUGGCUUUUUGAUAUUGAUUUAAGGUCUGGCCUGCCCAAUGAAUAAUUAAAUGGCCGCGGUAUUUUGACCGUGCAAAGGUAGCAUAAUCAUUAGUUUUUUAAUUGAAAGCUGGAAUGAAGGGUUGGAUGAGAAAAUUACUGUCUCUAUUUAAAUUUAAUUGAAUUUUAUUUUUAAGUUAAAAAGCUUAAAUAGAUAUUGAAGACGAGAAGACCCUAUAGAGUUUUAUUUAUUUUUAUUGUUUUAUUUUUAGGAUUAAUAUUUAAUUAUAUAAAAGUAAAUUUAAUUGGGGUGAUUAAAAAAUUUAAUAAACUUUAUUUUAUGGAAUCAUUAAUUUAUGAGUAAUUGAUCCUUUAUUUAAGAUUAAAAGAUAAAAUUACCUUAGGGAUAACAGCGUUAUUUUUUUGAAGAGUUCUAAUCGAUAAAAAAGAUUGCGACCUCGAUGUUGGAUUAAAAGUAAAUUUUGGUGUAGAAGCUAAAAUUUUAGGUCUGUUCGACCUUUAAAAUUUUACAUGAUCUGAGUUUAAACCGGUGUGAGCCAGGUUGGUUUCUAUCUCUAUUUAGUUAAAAUAUUUUAGUACGAAAGGACCAAAUAUUAAAUAGAAAAUAUUUAAAUAAAGGAAUAAUAUUA